rnacentral:rRNA from 1 species
GUUUUAAGAUUUAUUAAUUUAAAAUCGUGCCUGCCCAAUGAUGAACAUUAAAUGGCCGCAGUAAAUUGACUGUGCAAAGGUAGCAUAAUAAUUUGUCUUUUAAUUGAGGACUGGAAUGAAAGGUUUGACGUGAAAAAUUCUGUCUCUAAUUUUAUCAUUUGAAUUUUACUUUUAAGUUAAAAGGCUUAUUAAAUUUUAUUAAGGGACGAAAAGACCCCAUCAAGUUUAAUAUUUAUAUUAUUUUUAUUCAUUUAUAAUUAAUUUAUUUAUUUUUCUGGGGUGGAAAUAAUAGAAUAUCUUUUUAUUUAUUAUUAUAAUUUUUAAAUUUAUUAUUGAUCUUAUAUUAUGAUUUAACUGAUUAAAUUACUGUGGGGGUAACAGCGUUAUUUCUUUGGAAAGUUCACAUUUAUAAAGAAGAUUACGACCUCGAUGUUGGAUUAAUUUAACCUAUUAAUGAAACAGUUAAUAAGGUGAGUCUGUUCGACUCAUAAAAAUUUACA